rnacentral:misc_RNA from 1 species
CGCCGGCCGCUGUCACGGUGAGUUCCUCAUGUGUCGCUCCGUUUCGGAUGGUAUAUCUUCUAGGCGCUUAAUGCCCUAAGGGGCUAAACAGCGCGAGUGCGUUAAGUAGAGUGUGCUUGUAAGAAAGAGGUCUAUACAGGUGAGUCUUCGAGAUGAGCUAUGAAGGGGGCCCUCGGCUGCCUGCUAGCCUCCGUCUUCAUUUUCGACUUAUGCCGACCAAAUAUUUACGCAACGGCGCUUCCUCCUGUUGUCAAAAUUGGUGCUAUAUUCACUCAUGACCAAAAGGAUAGCAGCACGGAGCUGGCCUUCAAGUAUGCCGUCUACAAAAUCAACAAGGAAAAACUCAUUUUACCAAAGACAAAUUUGAUUUAUGAUAUCCAGUAUGUUCCGAGGGACGAUUCUUUCCAUGCAUCAAAAAAAACUUGUCAGCAAGUUAAAUUUGGAGUCCAGGCAAUUUUUGGCCCCUCGGAUCCGAAACUUGGUCAGCACAUUCACAGUAUCUGCGACGCAUUGGACAUUCCACAUCUGGAAGCCAGGGUGGAUUUGGACUCAGAAGCAAAAGAAUUUAGUAUCAACCUUCAUCCCGCACAAAAUUUGCUCAACUCUGCGUACCAGGAUGUUAUGAAGUUUUUAAAUUGGACUAAAGUAGCAAUUGUCUAUGAGGAUGAUUACGGUCUGAUAAAAUUACGAGAGUUAGUUAGAUCACCCAAGACCCGUGAGAUUGACGUAUAUUUGAGGCAGACCGAUCCAAACUCCUAUAGACAAGUCCUGGCUGAGAUCAAAACCAAAGAAAUACGUAACUUCCUUGUUGACACUAAGCCAGAGCACAUGCAUCUCUUUUUAAGGAUGAUACUCCAAUUACAAAUGAAUGAUUACAAGUAUCACUACCUCUUUACAACUUUUGAUAUUGAAACUUUCGAUUUAGAGGACUUCAAGUACAAUUAUGUGAAUAUCACUGCCUUUCGAUUAGUCGACGCUGAUGAUGCUGGAGUCAGAGGAAUUUUGCGAGACAUGGAACGGUUUCAACCUGCUGGAAAUACUAUUCUCAACAAAUCACGUGUUAUUGAGGCAGAACCAGCUUUAAUGUACGACAGUGUUAACGUAUUUGCUGUUGGAUUAAGGACAUUAGAGCAAUCUCACGCGUUAAGGCCUGCGAAUCUCUCCUGUGAACUCGAGCAUCCUUGGGAUGGUGGUUUAUCUCUUAUCAAUUAUAUUAACUCAGUAGAAAUGAAAGGUAUUUCUGGACCCAUUGAGUUUAAAGAAGGACGUCGAAUCCAAUUCAAACUAGAUCUUCUAAAAUUAAAACAGCAUUCUUUAAUGAAGGUAGGAGAAUGGAGACCAGAAUCAGGAGUGAACAUAACAGAUAAUGCAGCAUUUUUUGAACCAGGAACAGUGAAUGUUACAUUGGUAGUAAUAACGAUUCCGGAGAAGCCAUACAUUAUGAUGCAUCUUGAAAAAAACUACACGGGUAACAAUCGGUUUUACGGUUUUUGCGUGGAUUUGCUUGAAGCUGUGGCACAAAGGGUAGGCUUCAGUUAUCGUUUGGAGCUUGUUGCGGAUAAAAAAUAUGGCGUUAAAGAUCCAGAGACUGGCGAAUGGAAUGGCAUCGUCAAUGAACUCAUGCAACAUGAGCAGCCGUACGUUAUGCUGAGGAACUCUGGAAAUUUCACCGGUAACGAACGUUACGAGGGAUUUUGCAUUGAUCUACUGAGAGAGAUAGCGCGAAUGGUGGGAUUUGCCUACAAGAUUGAGCUUGUGCCGGAUGGCAAGUAUGGUGUUUACGAUUAUGAGACUGGCGAAUGGAAUGGCAUAGUUCGUCAAUUAAUGGAUAAGAAAGCAGAUCUAGCAGUAGGUUCAAUGACCAUAAAUUAUGCAAGGGAGAGUGUAAUUGACUUUACGAAGCCAUUCAUGAACCUAGGAAUCUCCAUACUCUUUAAGGUACCAACCAGUCAUCAGGCUCGACUCUUCUCAUUUAUGAAUCCUUUGGCGAUAGAAAUUUGGUUAUACGUUCUUGCUGCCUACGUUUUGGUUUCUGUAACAAUGUUCGUCGUUGCGCGAUUCAGCCCCUACGAAUGGAAUAACCCACAUCCGUGUCAUUCGGGUCCAACGGAAAUCGUUGAGAAUCAAUUCUCCUUGGCUAAUAGUUUCUGGUUCACCAUUGGAACGCUGAUGCAGCAAGGCAGCGAUCUCAAUCCAAAGGCUACAAGUACACGAAUUGUUGGGGGAAUAUGGUGGUUCUUCACGUUGAUAAUAAUUUCCUCAUACACCGCCAACCUUGCUGCCUUUUUGACAGUAGAAAGAAUGAUAACGCCAAUCGAAAAUGCAGAAGAUCUUGCUGGACAAACUGAUAUUACAUAUGGAACUCUAGAGAGUGGCAGCACCAUGACAUUUUUCCGGGAUUCGAUGAUUGAAACAUACAAAAAAAUGUGGAGAUUUAUGGAAAAUAAAAAACCUUCGGUUUUUGUAUCAACAUAUGAAGAAGGGAUUCAGCGUGUUUUGCAAGGUGAUUAUGCAUUUCUUAUGGAAUCCACGAUGCUGGAUUACAUUGUACAACGAGAUUGUAAUCUUACACAAAUUGGUGGACUGCUUGACAGUAAAGGAUACGGAAUCGCAACACCUAUGGGCUCGCCAUGGCGUGAUAAAAUCUCACUUGCCAUACUGGAGCUCCAAGAAAAAGGUGAAAUUCAAAUGCUGUAUGAUAAAUGGUGGAAAACCCCAGGAGACACAUGUAUGAGAACUGAGAAGGGAAAAGAGAAUAAAGCUAAUGCAUUGGGAGUAGCUAAUAUCGGUGGAGUAUUUGUCUUCCUUUUAUGUGGACUUGCAUUUGCUGUACUGGUGGCAAUUUUUGAAUUUUGCUAUAACUCCAAGAAAAAUUCAAUUCCUGAACGGCUGUGAAUAAUUUUUCUUGUCAAAAUUAUUUUGAUUGCAUGAACAUACAAGCAUGAACUCAUCGAUUGAAACAUGUAGUUGAUCUACUACAUUCAGAAACUUAGUCUCAGGACAGUCGACGUCAUCAGUGCAACCACCACCAACAUGCUUAGAAUCAUUGCAAGCUAUUCCACAAGGUACUCAACAACAACCACAGAAC